UCCCUGGUGGCUCAGAUGGUAAAGAAUCUGCCUGCAAUGCAGGAAACCCAGGUUCAAUCCUGGGUCAGGAAG
rnacentral:tRNA from 1 species